ACGGGUGAGUAACACGUGGGCAACCUGCCCUUGAGACUGGGAUAACUUCGGGAAACCGGAGCUAAUACCGGAUAAUAUGAGGAACCUCCUGGUUCUUUAUUGAAAGAUGGUUUCGGCUAUCACUUAAGGAUGGGCCCGCGGCGCAUUAGCUAGUUGGUGAGGUAACGGCUCACCAAGGCGACGAUGCGUAGCCGACCUGAGAGGGUGAUCGGCCACACUGGGACUGAGACACGGCCCAGACUCCUACGGGAGGCAGCAGUAGGGAAUCUUCCACAAUGGACGAAAGUCUGAUGGAGCAACGCCGCGUGAGUGAUGAAGGCCUUCGGGUCGUAAAGCUCUGUUGUUAGGGAAGAACAAGUGCGAGAGUAACUGCUCGCACCUUGACGGUACCUAACCAGAAAGCCACGGCUAACUACGUGCCAGCAGCCGCGGUAAUACGUAGGUGGCAAGCGUUAUCCGGAAUUAUUGGGCGUAAAGCGCGCGCAGGUGGUUUCUUAAGUCUGAUGUGAAAGCCCACGGCUCAACCGUGGAUGGUCAUUGGAAACUGGGGAACUUGAGUGCAGAAGAGGAAAGUGGAAUUC
rnacentral:rRNA from 1 species